rnacentral:rRNA from 1 species
CAGAAACUACAAAGGAAGUGACCGGGGACCCGGCACAAGCGGUGGAUGAUGUGGAUUAAUUCGAUGCAACGCGAAAACCUUACCUACCCUUGACAUGCCAGGAACUUGCCAGAGAUGGCUUGGUGCCCGAAAGGGAGCCUGGACACAGGUGUUGCAUGGCUGUCGUCAGCUCGUGUCGUGAGAUGUUCGGUUAAGUCCGCUAACGAGCGCAACCCUCGCUGUAUGUUACAUGUGUCAUACAGGACCGCCGGUAUCAAGCCGGAGGAAGGUGGGGAUGACGUCAAGUCCGCAUGGCCUUUAUGUCCGGGGCUACACACACGCUACAAUGGUCGGUACAAUGGGUUGCUAAGCCGCGAGGUGGAGCCAAUCCCCCAAAGCCGGCCUCAGUUCAGAUUGCAGGCUGCAACUCGCCUGCAUGAAGCUGGAGUUGCUAGUAAACGCGCGUCAGCUAUAGUGCGUUGAAUACGUUCUCGGGCCUU